rnacentral:rRNA from 1 species
CCUACGGGUGGCAGCAGUGGGGAAUAUUGCACAAUGGGCGCAAGCCUGAUGCAGCCAUGCCGCGUGUGUGAAGAAGGCCUUCGGGUUGUAAAGCACUUUCAGCGGGGAGGAAGGCGGUGAGGUUAAUAACCUCAUCGAUUGACGUUACCCGCAGAAGAAGCACCGGCUAACUCCGUGCCAGCAGCCGCGGUAAUACGGAGGGUGCAAGCGUUAAUCGGAAUUACUGGGCGUAAAGCGCACGCAGGCGGUCUGUCAAGUCGGAUGUGAAAUCCCCGGGCUCAACCUGGGAACUGCAUUCGAAACUGGCAGGCUAGAGUCUUGUAGAGGGGGGUAGAAUUCCAGGUGUAGCGGUGAAAUGCGUAGAGAUCUGGAGGAAUACCGGUGGCGAAGGCGGCCCCCUGGACAAAGACUGACGCUCAGGUGUGAAAGCGUGGGGAGCAAACAGGAUUAGAUACCCGGGUAGUC